rnacentral:snoRNA from 1 species
ACCUUCCCUAUUCCUUACCCACCAGACCUAAACACUGGCUCGAAUGGCUGAGAAAGGAGGAGAAAUAAAAUUGAAGCUGACUUCAAUUCUUCCGUGGCACACCAGGUCACUUCAGACAAGU